UGAGGAAUAUUGGGCAAUGGGCGAAAGCCUGACCCAGCCACGCCGCGUGAGUGAUGAAGGCCUUCGGGUCGUAAAGCUCUGUGGGGAGGGACGAAAAAGCGCAGUAGGAAAUGACUGCGCCUUGACGGUACCUCCUUAGCAAGCACCGGCUAACUCUGUGCCAGCAGCCGCGGUAAUACAGAGGGUGCGAACGUUGCUCGGAUUUACUGGGCGUAAAGCGCGUGUAGGCGGACUCGCAAGUCGGUUGUGAAAUCCCUGGGCUCAACCUAGGAACUGCAUCCGAAACUGCUUGUCUUGAGUAAUGGAGAGGGUGGCGGAAUUCCCGGUGUAGAGGUGAAAUUCGUAGAUAUCGGGAGGAACACCAGUGGCGAAGGCGGCCACCUGGACAUUCACUGACGCUGAGACGCGAAAGCGUGGGGAGCAAACAGGAUUAGAUACCCCCGUAGUCC
rnacentral:rRNA from 1 species